rnacentral:rRNA from 1 species
UGAGGAAUAUUGCACAAUGGGCGCAAGCCUGAUGCAGCGACGCCGCGUGUGGGACGAAGGGGCUACGCCUCGUAAACCACUGUAGCCCGGGACGAAAAACGCCUUAGAGGCGUUAGACGGUACCGGGAAAGUAAGGGUCGGCUAACUACGUGCCAGCAGCCGCGGUAAUACGUAGGACCCAAGCGUUAUCCGGAUUUACUGGGCGUAAAGCGCGUGCAGGCGGAUUGGAGAGUUGGAUGUGAAAGCUCCCGGCUUAACUGGGAGAGGUCGUUCANUACUUCCAGUCUUGAGUGCAGUAGAGGGAAGUGGAAUUCCGGGUGUAGUGGUGAAAUGCGUAGAUAUCCGGAGGAACACCAGUGGCGAAAGCGGCUUCCUGGACUGUAACUGACGCUCAGACGCGAAAGCUAGGGUAGCAAACG